UACGAAGGUCCCAAGCGUUGUUCGGAAUCACUGGGCGUAAAGGGUGCGUAGGCGGUUUGGUAAGUCAGAUGUGAAAUCCCGGGGCUCAACCCCGGAACUGCAUCCGAUACUGCCGGACUAGAGGACUGGAGAGGUGACUGGAAUUCUCGGUGUAGCAGUGAAAUGCGUAGAGAUGUGGAGGAACACCGAUGGCGAAGGCAGCCCCCUGGGUUAACACUGACGCUCAGGCACGAAAGCGUGGGGAGCAAACAGG
rnacentral:rRNA from 1 species